UACGUAGGGGGCAAGCGUUGUCCGGAUUUAUUGGGCGUAAAGAGCGUGUAGGCGGCCAUACAGGUCAGCUGUGAAAACUCGAGGCUCAACCUCGAGACGUCGGUUGAAACCGUUUUGGCUAGAGUCCGGAAGAGGAGAGUGGAAUUCCCGGUGUAGCGGUGAAAUGCGCAGAUAUCGGGAAGAACACCCGUGGCGAAGGCGGCUCUCUGGGACGGUACUGACGCUGAGACGCGAAAGCGUGGGGAGCGAACAGG
rnacentral:rRNA from 1 species